GGAAGAGCACUCAUUGCUUUUAGUCACUGUCUCCAGCCCCACUUAGUUUUUCUAUUUUUGCUGACUCAGAGGAGCAGGGCCUCCCUGAUGCACUGUCACCCCCAUGUGACUAAGCACGGGAAUUACAUAGAGGAGUUCUCAGGGAGGGAAGGAGCCCUGGACUCCUUCACUGCAAGCCUGGGCUUCCUGGCCCUCGUCACUUCUCUGUCUGGCGUCUCCCGGGCUCCCAAACCCUGAGCUGUCAACGUCUGAGAAGAGAGUAGCUUGCUUCUGGGCUCAGGGCAUUUGUUGUGCCUUUUAGGACUCUAGAAUGUAGUGGCUCCUUCGUACGCUUUCAAGGCCCCUUAUAAAAACUAGGUUUGGCUCGGCCUUAGCGCCAUCUUCUUUGAAACUCCUGCGCCACGAGAGGGAAGUGGCGGAAGAAGAGAAUGCGAAUGAAUGCGCAGGCUGAGGCGCAAGAGAAGAGAAGAAAGAAGAGGCAGAGGUCCAAGUAAAUUAGCUUGUGCACCCACGAAGCCUGCAGGAGCAGAGAGGUAAGGGAUGCCGAAGGCCAGGACACCGGAACAAGUUGUUGAUCUGUAUGCUGCUGUCGGUAGUAAGUCUCAGUGGACCUGGAACGUGAUCUGGCCGAGAUCACCUGGGAAAAUGACUGCCUUUCUUAUAACCCAAACAGUCCGGCUGGCUCUCUGCCCUGGACCUUUGGCAUUCUGGACUAGGUCUGUUCUCACUUGUGGCCAAGUGUAACUCGUGUACAAUAGAUACUCUUGCUGUCAGCUGAAGAAUCAUAAAUAAAUAAAUAAAUAAAUAAAUAAAUAAAUAAAUAAGAAAGGAAAAACAAAACAAAACAAAAAAACUAGGUCUGGAGGUGCAAGCCUGUAAGCUUGGUGGUGGAAAGUGAAGAGACUCCGAAGUUCAAGGUCAGCUAGGUGUGGGGGUGCACACUUUCUGGCAUUUGGGAGGCGGGGUCAGGCCUAUCUCUGUGGUUUGAGGCCAGGGGGGACUACAUAGUAGGACUAACUCAAAUAGAAGUUCCAGGUUAUUCUUGGUUACAUUGUGACUUUAGGGGCAACCUGGGCUAUAAGAGAGUCUAUCUUAAAAACAAAUUGACUGGGCUGGUGAGAUGGCUCAGUGGGUAAGAGCACCCGACUGCUCUUCCGAAGGUCCUGAGUUCAAAUCCCAGCAACCACAUGGUGGCUCACAACCAUCCCUAACGAGAUCUGACUCCCUCUUCUGGUGUGUCUGAAGACAGCUACAGUAUACUUACAUAUAAUAAUAAAUAAAUCUUAAAAAAAAAAAACAAAUUGACAAGAGUCACCACUUUUAAUCCCAGCAUUCAGGGAGGACAGAGGCUGGAGGAUCUCAGUGAGUUUCAGGACAGCCUGGUUUACAAAGAGAGUUACAGGACAGCCAGGGCUCAGGAAAAAGAAAAAAAAAAAAGCAAAACAAACAGAACAAAACAAAACAAAACAAACAAACAAACAAACACCCUGGCAAAUGGGAAAGGAAACGCUGCUUGCAUUGGGCGCCUUUGACUGGACUUAGGUGACUUGGCAAAGCCUCGGCUUCCUCCUUCCUUAUCCGAGCUCUCCCGAGCAAGUGCAGCUACUGCAACAGCGUUCCUAUGCUGCUGACGCCAGUGCCGUCCUGGGCGGGAUGGGUACCCGUUCCAUCCACCUUACAGAUACUACUAG
rnacentral:lncRNA from 1 species